rnacentral:lncRNA from 1 species
UCUUCAUGCAUUGUCCAUUAGAUAGCAAGCGAACAAAUGUUCGACCAAUUAUGGACAUUCAUGAUAUUUAUCAUUAUUUCUCACAUCAACUACAUCGCAUCCACCACAUCGUAACUAUUGAACCACAUUGUAACCAUUAAACCACUGCCACCGCAUCAUAGGCACCGAAUCACAUCGCGACCACAACAUUGCAACCACUACAUUACAUGCACCGAAUCUCAUCACAACCACCAACAUUGCAGCCACCACAUCGCAUCCACUGUAUCGUAUCCAUUGUAUCGCAUCCACCGUAUCGCAUCCACCAUAUCGUAUCCACCACAUCGCAUCACAUUCACGAUAACAAAUCUACAACAAAAAGUUGAAAGCUUUUCUAAUGAACCCAGAUAAUCAACGUUGUUUAAGUAAAAACCCCAGAAAUUGAAGAAGCUCUUGCUCUUGUUCCAUAAAGACCUAUUUCUCACGACAAAAGAGUUCUUGAGUUCAAGAAGAAUUAGAAGAUCAUCGAUUUAAUACAAACCUGACCGGAUUGAGAAACAAAGGACUAACAAAGUAAGAAAUAGUGCACAAACCAGAGAUUUGUACUUUAUUUUGUUUUUGUAUUGAAACAGGAGAUAUGUGAUGGUGAAAGUAGUGAAUGAAGAAGUU